UUGCGAAUGAACAAGGAUAUGCUUAGCUUGACAAAUGGAGCUAUUGGCUUUGAAUUGUAUUGUGGAAAUGUAUUACCAACAGAGGUGCAGGUGCCAGCCUAUUGAAAUAAAGCGUCAAUGAGGGUGAGAAUCCUGUUUGUCAUGUGCAGCCCUUUGUGCACGGUGUAUAUUUGCUGAGUCACACUCCUUGGCAUUGGAAUGCAAAGUGGGUGGUAAGUUUCAUGUAAAGGUAAACAUGCAAUUGAGACUGAUAGCACACAAGUACCAUGAGGGAAAUAUGAAAAGGACUUUGAAAAGAGAAUUAAAUGAGUUUGUAUUUGCUGAACACAAAGUAAACAGACUUGAUUUGCUUGGUGGGAGUGUUGCACUUGCUUGACAAGAGCUUUGGGCUGUGGGUGUAAUGAUUCUUUCUUUGCAUGCCAGUUUCUAUUUGUACAUCUGAUUACCUUUGCACAUGAAUGAUAAGUCUCCUGUGGGGGGUGGAUUGCAUGUGCAUGUAAUGAUUUGUGUUUUGAUAAAUGUGUCUGGUGUAUGUGUGUGUUCCUGUGCUUGGGGAUGCUUCCUUCCUUGGACUUACAAGCCCUGACACACACAUGCUGGCAAAAUGCUUCUGCUUGACCCGUCUUGAAACACGGACCAAGGAGUCUAACAGAUGUGCAAAGUUUGAAGGUGGUAUACCUUUGUGUGCAAUGAAAGUGUCAGCUGGGAUAUGUGCACCAGCACCCAAUUAAUUAGCGGACAGAGGUUUGAGUUGGAGCAUAUCUAUUAGGACCCGAAAGAUGGUGAACUAUGCCUGAACAGAAUGAAUUCAGAGGAAACUCUGAUGGAGGUUCGUAUCGAUACUGACGUGCAAAUCGUUCGUCAUAUUUGGGUAUAGGGGCGAAAGACUAAUCGAACCAUCUAGUAGCUGGUUCCCUCCGAAGUUUCCCUCAGGAUAGCUGGAGUUGCUCAGUUUUAUCAGGUAAAGCGAAUGAUUAGAGGAAUUGGGGACAGGUUUGUCUUUGACCUAUUCUCAAACUUUAAAUGGGUAAUAUGUAGUGGUUGCUGUAUGGAACUUCUAAGAUAAAUGGCAAUAUUGGGUGGGCCAUUUUUGGUAAGCAGAACUGGCGAUGAGGGAUGAACCUAAUGUGGGGCUAAGGUGCUUAAUUACUUGCUCAUUUGAUACCAGAAAGGGUGUUGGUUCAUUUUAACAGCAGGACGGUG
rnacentral:rRNA from 1 species